rnacentral:rRNA from 1 species
CCUACGGGUGGCAGCAGUGGGGAAUAUUGCACAAUGGGGGAAACCCUGAUGCAGCGACGCCGCGUGAGCGAUGAAGUAUUUCGGUAUGUAAAGUUCUAUCAGCAGGGAAGAAAAUGACGGUAUCUGACUAAGAAGCCCCGGCUAACUAUGUGCCAGCAGCCGCGGUAAUAUGUAGGGGGCAAGCGUUAUCCGGAUUUACUGGGUGUAAAGGGAGCGUAGACGGCGAUGCAAGCCAGAUGUGAAAGCCCGGGGCUCAACCCCGGGACUGCAUUUGAAACUGUAUAGCUGGAGUGUCGGAGAGGCAGGCGGAAUUCCUAGUGUAGCGGUGAAAUGCGUAGAUAUUAGGAAGAACACCAGUGGCGAAGGCGGACUGCUGGACGAUGACUGACGUUGAGGCUCGAAAGCGUGGGGAGCAAACAGGAUUAGAUACCCCAGUAGUC